rnacentral:rRNA from 1 species
GACGAACGCUGGCGGCGUGCCUAAUACAUGCAAGUAGAACGCAGUUGCGAACGGGUGAGUAACGCGUAGGUAACUGCCUCAUAGCGGGGGAUCACUAUUGGAAACGAUAGCUAAUACCGCAUACUGUGAGAUGGACCUGCUUUGUAUUAGCUAGUUGGUGAGGUAAAGGCUAACCAAGGCGACGAUCCCUAGCUGGUCUGAGAGGAUGACCCGCAAAACGGAGACUGAGACACGUCCCAGACUCCUAAGGGAUGCAGCAGUAGGGAAUCGUCGGAAAUGGACGGAAGUCGGACCGAGCAACGCAGCGUGAGUGAAGAAGGUGUUCGGAUCGUAAAGCUCGGUUGUGAGAGAAGCGGUAACUAACCAGAAGGGGACGGCUAACUACGUGCCAGCCGCCGCGGAAAUAC